UCUCUUCUCCCCUUCUCUCCUUCGCCUCACCUUUAUCCUCAGAAGCUAAACCGAUCCCAACAGUCCUUGAUCAGAUCUUUCCCUCUUCCUCUUGCUCUCAAAAUCUUUAUUAUCUCUCCUUCUUCUUUCCUUCCAACUCUUUGAUUUUAUUCUUGAAUAUUACUUCAACUUUUUUAUUUUUUUUCUUUAUUCUCAUGUUUACUGCGCCUGCCUGCCGUCCCCAAUUCCCCACUCAACUCGCCACACCGGCUACUACGACCAAUUUGUCAUGUCUCCCAGCUCCGGACGUCACAGAAUUUAAAAGCUACCAGUUGCCACUUUCUGCUGGUCCCUAGGCUUUUCUUUUCUAUCCACAGCACUCCACCCGUCCAUCCGGCCCAAGCUUACAGCUAGAUGAAGGAACAAAGCAUAGGCCUCCACUACCCGUGCCAACUGCCUAUUUGUUCCGUGUUUUCAUUUAACAUUUGAAGCUUCAAACCCUGUAAACGAUACCUAACCUUUUCCACAAUCGUCUUUUAUUUUCGUUCCUUGGCUGAGAGACUGCCGACUUUGUCUUGGCUGGGAUUACUUUUGAUUUGUUGACUUUUAUUUUUCGGUCAAAUAUAGAACCGAGAGUGAAGCAUUGACUGCUGCUUCCUCUCUAUUGUUUCAGGUACUACCUCGGUUCUUCCGUUACUUUCCGUUAAUUAGUGAUUAUUUUUCUCUCUUCUAUUUGGUUGCGUCGAUGUUUUGUCUUGUUUUUUCUGGAAUGCAGCUAGAGUGUAGAUAUGUGGUGGCCCUCUUAGAGAUGAUCUGAAAGAAAAUAUUCAAUCCCAGAUCUUCAAGCUAAAGUAGUAGAGUGAGGUUGUUGCAGUUAAGCAAUUGGAUAGAAAUAGACUCUAAGGGACCAGAGGCUACUUGUCUAUUAGUUCAUGCCCUUGGGAUCAUUGGAAGAUCAUCUUCAUGGGUUCAGCUGCAGAAAGUGCUUUCUCGGGGAUUUGAUGAAAGUUCUUGGCCACUCCAAACUAAAACCGGCAGCUUCUAGAAAUAGCUCAAGUUCCUGAUGAACAUGUGAAUGAAUUCAAGUUGAUAGGGAAGUUCAAAAUUUUCAAUCCCAACAACUUAUGGGUGAACUUGAAAGCAAUCAAAAGACUUGUACAAUAAAGUGCACUGAAGAUGGAGAUUAUUCCAAAUCCAAAGGUUUAUCAAUAUGGCAUUUCACAUUCAGUCUCCUCUCUACCAACAACCAAAGUCCGACCUGUACACUUUGUCUGAUGACGGCUAUGUGGUCUGCAACGAGGCUAGGAAAAAUCCAACUAACCCAACUAUGAAUUGGGACCUGAAUUUAAGAAGGUAGGCAACUUCUUAAGUCGUAUCAAGUCUAUUCCCAGUAUUGUUGAACUAGACAGCCUAAAGAUGAGUGGUGAUGGUGGUUUGGAUCUGGUAUCACCCUGAAGGACUGGUUCCAAAACUGAGCUUGCUCCAGUUUCAGUUUCAACAGGUUCUCGCACUGAUGCAAUACCAUAUUCUGGGAAAUAUGAUGGGGUAGUUGGCAUGUUGGGUACAAUAGAAGCCAUCAACGUUCUAAAGCGGUAUGUUGGCUAAAUUGGCUUGACUGACUCUUGUUAGCCCUCUUGAAUUCUUAAAUUGUACCAUGGCCCAAAAUUCAAGGUUGCAGUUGUUUGCUGGUUUGCUUUACCUAAAUUUUUCGCUUGUUCGAUGGUAGGUAAUUUUUUUACGGAGUUGGAAUCUUAGAGAAUUGCCUUUCCCCCCUACUCCUUUAUGUGUUUCUUGGAUCCUUGCUUUACUAAUGCUGCUAUGCAAUGGUCUUAAUGCUAAUUUUUUCAUCUUUUUUCCUUGUAUGCUUUGUUCUUUCCCUUAUGCUAAAUAUCUGGCUGUGAUUGUUUGCUGCUUUUUGAUGUUUUAUCUUUUCUGGAGUUUUGUUUGAUUUCUUUUGGAUUUUUCAUAAGAGAUGUUAAAAAGUAGGAACAAGUUUUUGGAUACAAAUCUGGAGAAAGUUUGUGGAGCUUCCCACACAUUCAUUUGGCAACCAAGAUACACGUGAUGCUUUGUCUGCAGCAAUCCACCAUGAGAACAAAGCUGUCAUGUACCACUGCAAAUAUCCGCUUUUAAGGUUUAUUGAUGACUUCAUUUUCAUGUCAACGUCAAAGAAACGGGCCUCUUUGUUAUUCUCCCGGUUGCAAGGAGGAUUUCAUGGAUACAACUGCUAUAUGAAUAAAGGGAAAUUUGGUGUAAAUUUUGAUAUGGAUCAUGUAUCAGGAUUCAGGUCAAAUAUACUCUAUAUGGGUUAACUCUAUGGUUGACCAUAGAGUAAAUUUUGAAAUGAAGCUUAUGGAUUUGAAGCUCAAGAUAAGAUAGCUGAUUUGGAUUCCUAUUUUCGUGAAACAA